GACGAACGCUGGCGGCGUGCUUAACACAUGCAAGUCGAACGGAAAGGCCUCUUUCGGGGGGUACUCGAGUGGCGAACGGGUGAGUAACACGUGAGUAACCUGCCCUUGACUUUGGGAUAACUUCAGGAAACUGGGGCUAAUACCGGAUAGGAGCUCCUGCUGCAUGGUGGGGGUUGGAAAGUUUCGGCGGUUGGGGGUGGACUCGCGGCUUAUCCGCUUGUUGGUGGGGUAGUGGCUUACCAAGGCUUUGACGGGUAGCCGGCCUGAGAGGGUGACCGGCCACAUUGGGACUGAGAUACGGCCAAGACUCCUACGGGAGGCAGCGGUGGGGAAGAUUGCACAAUGAGUGGAAGCCUGAUGCAGCAACGCCGUGUGCGGGAUGACGGCCUUCGGGUUGUAAACCGCUUUCGCUCAUGACGAAGCUUUGUGUGACGGUAGUGGGUAAAGAAGCACCGGCUAACUACGUG
rnacentral:rRNA from 1 species